UUUUUUCGUAUCAAUCUCUUUUCUUUUCCUUUCUUGUCUUAUCAUCCUUUCUUUCUUUUCUUCUCUUGCUAUCUACCUUCAUUUUAUCAUUCUUUAUGGCUUUUGCUUUUCUUCUUUAAAAAAAAUGAAAAACAAUGAAACAAAACGAUUAGAUCGAACCCAAAAGCAGGUUGCCUACGUAUCAUGUUGUACAUGAAUCAGAUCUUGCGUAGUUCGGGAAGCAUAUGCAUAAACAUUACAUAAUUGAAAUUAUUUUUUUUCAUGAAAACGAAAACAAACAAAAAAAAAAGACGUAACCUGAUAACAUUUGAUGAAAGAAAGAAACAAAACAUGCAACGAAUUUAGGACCGCUUUAAAAACUAAACAACAAAAUACAAAAUAACAUUCUAGACCCCUAAGACGACAUACGUGAAAUUACUGAUAAAGACCCUAAUACAAAAACAACUUGACUCCGACUUAAAACUGACGCCACCCUACAAUGACAAAAACAUAAAAGACUCAAAUUGAACAAAGGUAAGAAAUGCUCUUUCAGACUGGUGCUCUGCGUGAUGACCCUGCCUGAGAUGGACCUGCUUGUGAAGUUCUCUUUCUCCCAUUCAAACUUUGUAGCAUAUCCUGUAAAGACACCUUGAUAUUAGGGAAGAAGCUUUGGGCCCGUAUUCCUGCCUCAUGAGGAGUGCACUUGGAAAUAUUAUUCUGACACCUUUCUAUCAUCUUGAACAAAUCUGCUAACUGAACUCUCAGUGUCUCCACUUUAGACCCCGCACUUUCAUCCUGAUGGUCGUCAACUAUGUAUUCUUCCUGUAUUCUUCCUUUAAGCUGUGCAGGUAAGGGUUGACUGAUACCUCGAGGGAUGGAUUGAAGUCAGACCCUAUAUCCUUGAGUGUAACCCGAAUUAUCCAAACUUUCUUUGAGAGUGUCCAUACCUAGUUUUGUUGCAUGCUUCUAGAACUGCUCGUAUUUGCUUUCACCUAAGGCUUGGUCCUUGAAGUACUCAACAUCCUUUAGAAGAUCCACUACUGGUGGCAUGUCUUGUGGCCUACCAAACUGGUGCAUUACCCUAGAAGGACUGUAUGGUCUAGUGCAAUUAAGCCCUAACAUAACUAGAAGGAGCUGCAUUUAACAACCAAACAAGAUUAUCUUUGGUCGAAGACACAGAAAAGUCCACAAAAUGUUAUCCCCGGUUCUUGACUCAAGAAAUUCAAUCCAAGCGUCGACUCCCACGGGUAGCGAGAAUUUAUCCAAACGUAACCUGAGGUCCAUGGCUUUCACUCGAUUGGGAAUACAACGAUCAACCACGUCUGGUCUAACUAAAGAAGGCGCAUGUAAAUGCUUCAUCAUCCAUAACUGCAAUACCAGGUUACUGCCCUCAAAAAAUCUCAUCCCCCCUUCACUUCGGUUAAAGCCUUAUACAUUUUUGUUAAGAUCAUGGGUAUGAGAGUGAACCUGCCCUUUU
rnacentral:lncRNA from 1 species